CUAGAGAGUGCUUCCAGUAGGAAGAGCCCGGAGACAGGUGCUGCAUGGCUGUCGUCAGCUCGUGUCGUGAGAUGUUGGGUUAAGUCCCGCAACGAGCGCAACCCUCGCCUUUAGUUGCCAGCAUUCAGUUGGGCACUCUAAAGGGACUGCCGGUGUCAAACCGGAGGAAGGUGGGGAUGACGUCAAGUCCUCAUGGCCUUUAUGUCUAGGGCUACACACGUACUACAAUGGCCGGUACAAAGGGCAGCAAGUCAGCGAUGACAAGCCAAUCCCGCAAAGCCGGUCUCAGUCCGGAUCGGAGUCUGCAACUCGACUCCGUGAAGUUGGAAUCGCUAGUAAUCGUGGAUCAGAAUGCCACGGUGAUACGUUCCCGGGCCUUGUACACACCGCCCGUCACACCACGAGAGUCGGUUGUUCCAGAAGCGGUUGAGCCAACCUUCGGGAGGCAGGCCGCC
rnacentral:rRNA from 1 species